AUGUUGCAGCAGCACAUAUGCUAAAAAAUCAGAAUGAGACAGAGAAGAUGAGUAUGGCCCCUGCACAAGGGUGACAUGCAAAUUUGUGAAACACUUCAUAUUUUU
ensembl:snRNA U6 U6 spliceosomal RNA